GCCCUGCUAGCUCAGCCAGUAGCGCAUGGGACUCUUGAUCUCCGGAUUAUGGGUUUGAGCCCCACGCUGGGUG